CAGCCGUAAACUAUGCGCGUUAGGUGUAUCGGUGACCACGAGUUACCGAGGUGCCGAAGGGAAACCGUGAAACGUGCCGCCUGGGAAGUACGGUCGCAAGGCUGAAACUUAAAGGAAUUGGCGGGGGAGCACCACAACAGGUGGAGCUUGCGGUUUAAUUGGACUCAACGCCGGGAAGCUCACCGGAUAGGACAGCAGAAUGAUUGCCGGGCUGAAGACCCUGCAUGACUAGCUGAGAGGUGGUGCAUGGCGUCAGUGACU
rnacentral:rRNA from 1 species